UUACUAGGACCAGAAUAAAGACGCUCAAAACUGAGAAAGAAAAACAGCAGUCUUGCAUGGCCCCUGCGCAAGGAUGACACGCAAAUUCGUGAAGCGUUCCAUAUUUAA
ensembl:snRNA U6 U6 spliceosomal RNA